rnacentral:rRNA from 1 species
CACGGAGUUAGCCGGUGCUUAUUCGUAUAGUACCUUCAGCUACCCUCACGAGGGUAGGUUUAUCCCUAUACAAAAGAAGUUUACAACCCAUAGGGCCGUCGUCCUUUACGCGGGAUGGCUGGAUCAGGCUCUCACCCAUUGUCCAAUAUUCCUCACUGCUGCCUCCCGUAGGAGUCUGGUCCGUGUCUCAGUACCAGUGUGGGGGAUCACCCUCUCAGGCCCCCUAAAGAUCGUAGACUUGGUGAGCCGUUACCUCACCAACUAUCUAAUCUUGCGCGUGCCCAUCUCUAUCCACCGGAGUUUUCAAUACCGAAUGAUGCCAUCCAGUAUAUUAUGGGGUAUUAAUCUUCCUUUCGAAAGGCUAUCCCCCAGAUAAAGGCAGGUUGCACACGUGUUCCGCACCCGUACGCCGCUCUCAAGAUCCCGAAAGAUCUCUACCGCUCGGCUUGCAUGUGUUAGGCCUCCCGCUAGCGUUCAUCCUGAGCCAGGAUCAAACUC